AUUGAACGCUGGCGGCGGGCCUAACACAUGCAAGUCGAACGAGUGGCGGACGGGUGAGUACUGUCUGGGCACCUGCCCGAUGGAGGGGGAUAACUAAUGGAAACGGUAGCUAAUACCGCAUACCAUCGGAUGUGUCCCGAUGGGAUUUGCUAGUAGGUGGGGUAAAGGCUCACCUAGGCGACGAUCCCUAGCUGGUCUGAGCGGAUGACCAGCCACACUGGAACGGAGACACGGUCCAGACUCCUACGGGAGGCAGCAGGGGGGAAUAUGGCACAAUGGGCGCAAGCCUGAUGCAGCCAUGCCGCGUGUAUGAAGAAGGCCUUCGGGUUGUAAAGUACUUUCGGCGAGGAGGCGUUACUCGCAGAAGAAGCAUCGGCUAACUCCGUGCCAGCAGCCGCGGUAAUAC
rnacentral:rRNA from 1 species